UUUAUAUAGUUUAAUAAAAACAUUAUAUUUUCACUGUAAAAAUAAACAAAAUGUUUUAUAAAUAU
rnacentral:tRNA from 1 species